AUAUGUCUGUGAGAAGACAAGGUCAUAACACCCUCGAAGAUUAUUUCUCUCGUUCUUCUAAAACAGAAUCUACUUCUGCUCACAAAGACCUCAAA
rnacentral:ribozyme from 1 species